AUACAGAGGGGGCAAGCGUUGUUCGGAAUUACUGGGCGUAAAGGGCGCGUAGGCGGCCUGCUAAGUCGAACGUGAAAUCCCCGGGCUCAACCCGGGAACUGCGUCCGAGACUGGAAGGCUCGAAUCCGGGAGAGGGAUGUGGAAUUCCAGGUGUAGCGGUGAAAUGCGUAGAUAUCUGGAGGAACAUCGGUGGCGAAGGCGGCAUCCUGGACCGGUAUUGACGCUGAGGCGCGAAAGCCAGGGGAGCAAACG
rnacentral:rRNA from 1 species